GUCACGAUCGUUAUGGCGAUCGGGAAAAAGAUAAAGAGCAACAUUUCAUUGUAUUACUACUCGAGCCCCUAUUUAGAAUCGUUCAAUCAGAUUUCGAUUAUAUAUUUUUUAGUUGAAAAUAAAAGGAAGAUGGAUUUUAUGAAGACAUAAUAAAAAGCAUUUAAUUCAAACAUCUGUAAUAAAAGGCGGACUGGCAGCUUUUUUUAAUAUUAAAAUGGAAUACUUAAAAAUAAAAAUAAUCAUUGAAAGUAAUAAAGAAUAUCAAAUUAGGAAGUAAUAUAACAAACUAAUCUAAAUAAUGGCAUACCAUAUUCAACCAUCAGAUCAUUCUGUUCAUCUUUCAGAAAAUUCUGAAAAUAUUAAAUCACAAAGUGUGCUGCCUUCAUUUACUGCCUAUCCUUAUCAGUUUAAUUCUUCCCUUCAAACAACACUGCCACAAUAUGGAUAUAAAUAUCCAUCUACAAGCACAAUUGAUUCACUGCCAAAUAGGGAGAUUACAGAUUCUAAUUCAUCAUUUCCAUCAGAUUGCAGAAAUAAACAUUCUUCACUGAGAAGUAACUUCUAUGCAAAUUCAGAUUUUAUAUUUUCCGUCCCUCAAUCUUUAGAUUACAAUUCAGACAAUAAUUAUAUUCAAUCAGUUCAGGAUUCAUAUUCCUCAAUUCCACCAAUACCUACAAGCCAAAGAUACUCUCAACAGAAUAAAAAUUCUUAUAUAAAAAGUUCAGCAUGCCUUGACCAUGAUUAUUGGAAAAUAUCAUCUUCUGUACAAAAUUAUGAUAUACCUCCAUUAGAACAUUUUGAAUCUAAUGAUAAGAAAAGUUUUAUUGAAGAUAGAAACAUUAAUUCAUUACCUCCAGUUAAUACAGGUUUAUUCCAACAAACUAAUAUUUCUUAUAGUAGAGAUUCUUAUUGUUCAGAAAAAUGGCCAGAUCAGUCAAAAAUAUUAUAUCAUGUACCUCAUAAUUAUUAUGAUCAGUUUACUCAAGAACAAAAAUUAUCUGAAUCAGUUAAUUUAAU
rnacentral:lncRNA from 1 species